rnacentral:rRNA from 1 species
AAGUCUGAUGGAGCAAUGCCGCGUGAGUGAAGAAGGGUUUCGGCUCGCAAAACUCUGUUGUUAAAGAAGAACACCUUUGAGGUAAUUCAAGGGUUGACGGUAUUUAACCAGAAAGCCACGGCUAACUACGUGCCAGCAGCCGCGGUAAUGCGUAGGUGGCAAGCGUUGUCCGGAUUUAUUGGGCGUAAAGCGAGCGCAGGCGGUUUUUUAAGUCUGAUGUGAAAGCCUUCGGCUUAACCGGAGAAGUGCAUCGGAAACUGGGAGACUUGAGUGCAGAAGAGGACAGUGGAACUCCAUGUGUAGCGGUGGAAUGCGUAGAUAUAUGGAAGAACACCAGUGGCGAAGGCGGCUGUCUAGUCUGUAACUGACGCUGAGGCUCGAAAGCAUGGGUAGCGAACAGGAUUAGAUACUCUUGUAGUCCAUGCCGUAAACGAUGAGUGCUAAGUGUU